GUUUUAAUAAAUGCCUCCUCAACAUUCUGAGCAGUUUUUGCUGAAGCCUCCAUAAAGAUUAAACCAUGCUCCUUGGCAAAUUGUUCCCCUUCUUCUGUGCUCACAGCCCUUCUAUGAGCAAGAUCACACUUAUUACCAAUAAGCAUAAUUGUCAUGUUAGCAUUUGCAUGCUGCCUGGCGUCCUCCAGCCAGCUAGCCAAGUGAUUAAAAGUUUCCCUCCUGGUAAUGUCAUAGACGAGCAAAGCACCAGCAGCCCCUCUAUAAUAGGACCUCGUAAUAGAUCUAAAGGAUUCUUGCCCCGCCGUGUCCCAAAUUUGGAGCUUGAUUGGUUUGUUGUCGAUAGUGAUCAUUCGAGCCCCAAAUUCCACACCUAUGGUGAGGUCAUGGACGGGCUGGAACCUCUUGUCCGUGAACUGAAGCAGAAGACAGGAUUUCCCAACUCCAGUAUCUCCGAUGAUGAUGUACUUGAAGAGGUAUGCGUAUGACAUGUUUUAUGAGACUUGUGAUUGCAAAAUUUUGCAGAAAGUAAAUGUGCAAGGAUUUG
rnacentral:misc_RNA from 1 species